AGUGAACGCUGGCGGUAGGCCUAACACAUGCAAGUCGAACGGCAGCACAGUAAGAGCUUGCUCUUACGGGUGGCGAGUGGCGGACGGGUGAGGAAUACAUCGGAAUCUACUUUUUCGUGGGGGAUAACGUAGGGAAACUUACGCUAAUACCGCAUACGACCUACGGGUGAAAGCAGGGGAUCUUCGGACCUUGCGCGAUUGAAUUAGCCGAUGUCGGAUUAGCUAGUUGGCGGGGUAAAGGCCCACCAAGGCGACGAUCCGUAGCUGGUCUGAGAGGAUGAUCAGCCACACUGGAACUGAGACACGGUCCAGACUCCUACGGGAGGCAGCAGUGGGGAAUAUUGGACAAUGGGCGCAAGCCUGAUCCAGCCAUAUCGCGUGGGUGAAGAAGGCGUUCGGGUUGUAAAGCCCGUUUGUUGGGAAAGAAAAGCAGCAGGUUAAUACCCCGCUGUUCUGACGGUACCGAAAGAAUAAGCACCGGCUAACUUCGUG
rnacentral:rRNA from 1 species